rnacentral:lncRNA from 1 species
AAGCUCGUAAGAAGGCUGGAAAACUGGCUUGUGUUGGGCUAUCUUCUACUGCUACAAACGCUGAGAUUAAAUGGUGCUUGAAGUAUUUUGAUAAGGGCUGUAUCUGGGCGCGCCCUCAUCCUUGGAUGAGGCCUCAUAUUUUCGACUACAACCCCAGGUUACGAAUUCCUAGGAUGGUUCUUACUCCUAAACUUGUCAAGUU